rnacentral:lncRNA from 13 species
CUUGGAAUGACAGUCCCAAUGAAAGAUUGAGUCUGCAGAAUAGACACAAAUGCCAGGUUGACAUUUCCUGCUAGUCUCAAGGCAUCAGGAAGAAGCAAGGGAACAAAGCCACUACCCGUGCCCACUCUGCACUCAGAGUCUUCAAUCGAUUUGUUCACCACAAAUGAGAAACAUGAACCAAUGGCUGACACCAACCAGGUCACUCUUAGCACCGCAGUAAAGGCCUCCAAUCUUCAAAGAAAUUGCAUUAACAAAUGAGGACAUAGACGCUCAAAUGAUUAUGUGAAUUUUCAAGACCAGACAACUAGCAAGGGAAGGAACUGGAAUUGGUAGUUGGCACUUACCUUUAUUUAGCUACAAGUAUCUUGGUGUUAGCAAUAUUGGAAAGGAGAUAUGAAGACAGAUAGGAAGGGAAGAAUU